rnacentral:rRNA from 1 species
ACGAACGCUGGCGGCGUGCUUCACACAUGCAAGUCGAGCGGAAAGGCCUGCUUUCCCUUGUGGAUUGCGGGUACUCGAGUGGCGAACGGGUGAGUAACACGUGAGUGAUCUGCCCCCAACUUGGGUAUAAGCCUGGGAAACUGGGUCUAAUUCCCGAUAGGACUGCAGGGUGGUGCCUGUGGUGGAAAACGAUUUUCUAGUGGUUGGGGAUGAGCUCGCGGCCUAUCAGCUUGUUGGUGGGGUAAUGGCCUACCAAGGCGGCGACGGGUAGCCGGCCUGAGAGGGUGGACGGCCACAUUGGGACUGAGAUACGGCCCAGACUCCUACGGGAGGCAGCAGUGGGGAAUAUUGCACAAUGGGCGGAAGCCUGAUGCAGCGACGCCGCGUGGGGGAUGACGGCCUUCGGGUUGUAAACUCCUUUCGACCGCGAGGAAGCCACCUGGUUGGAAGGGUGGUGACGGUAGUGGUAGAAGAAGCACCGGCUAACUACGUG